CGGGUGAGUAACGCGUGAGGACAUGGCUUCAGGAGGGGGAUAACGUUUGGAAACGGACGCUAAGACCCCAUAUGCCGGAAGGUGAAAGUGAUCUUCGGAUCAGCCUGGAGAGUGACUCGCGUCCUAUCAGCUAGUUGGUGGGGUGAAGGCCUACCAAGGCGAUGACGGGUAGCCGACCUGAGAGGGUGGCCGGACACACUGGAACUGAGAUACGGUCCAGACUCCUACGGGAGGCAGCAGUGGGGAAUAUUGGGCAAUGGGCGCAAGCCUGACCCAGCGACGCCGCGUGGGGGAUGAAGUCUUUCGGGAUGUAAACCCUUGUUGUACGGGACGAAGGAAGUGACGGUACCGUACGAGGAAGCCCCCGGCAAACUACGUGCCAGCAGCCGCGGUAAUACGUAGGGGGCGAGCGUUGUCCGGAAUCCCUGGUGCGUAAAGCGCACCGUAAGGCGGGCUGUCAAGUCGGCCGUGAAAGGCAUGGGCUCAACCUGUGCAUGUCGGUCGAUACUGGCGGUCUGGAGUAUGGGAGAGGGAACUGGAGUUCCCGGUGUAGCGGUGAAAUGCGUAGAUAUCGGGAGGAACACCAGUGGCGAAGGCGGGUUCAUGGCCCAUGACUGACGCUGAGGGCGAAAGCCGGGGGAGCGAACGGGAUUAGAUACCCCGGUAGUCCCGGCUGUAAACGAUGGAUGCUAGGUGUGGGGGGGUUACCUUCUGUGCCGCAGCUAACGCGAUAAGCAUCCCGCCUGGGGAGUACGAUCGCAAGAUUGAAACUCAAAGGAAUUGACGGGGGCCCGCACAAGCGGUGGAGCACGUGGUUUAAUUCGAUGCAAACCGAAGAACCUUACCUGGGUUUG
rnacentral:rRNA from 1 species